rnacentral:snRNA from 1 species
GUGCUCGCUGUGGCAACACAUAUGCUAAGAUUGGAACGAUACAGAGAAGAUCAGCAUGGCCCCCGCACAAGGAUGACACGCAAAUUCGUGAAGCGUUCCAUAAUUUU